UAGGGAAUCUUCCACAAUGGACGCAAGUCUGAUGGAGCAACGCCGCGUGAGUGAAGAAGGUUUUCGGACCGUAAAGCUCUGUUGUUGGUGAAGAAGGAUAGAGGUAGUAACUGGCCUUUAUUUGACGGUAAUCAACCAGAAAGUCACGGCUAACUACGUGCCAGCAGCCGCGGUAAUACGUAGGUGGCAAGCGUUGUCCGGAUUUAUUGGGCGUAAAGCGAGCGCAGGCGGAAGAAUAAGUCUGAUGUGAAAGCCCUCGGCUUAACCGAGGAAUUGCAUCGGAAACUGUUUUCUUGAGUGCAGAAGAGGAGAGUAGAACUCCAUGUGUAGCGGUGGAAUGCGUAGAUAUAUGGAAGAAUACCAGUGGCGAAGGCGGCUCUCUGGUCUGCAAACUGACGCUGAGGCUCGAAAGCAUGGGUAGCGAACAGGAUUAGAUACCCUGGUAGUCCAUGCCGUAAACGAUGAGUGCUAAGUGU
rnacentral:rRNA from 1 species